CAAAAAUGCACAAACUGUGUAUGAUUCCCAAACCCUCGUAAAUAACAAACUACUCCUUAGCAAUUUUGGAAGAGAAUUUCGCUAGGGUUUAAUAUCCCCCAUUUCUAGGCUAUCUUCUUCUCCAUUUCCUGCACAGGACACCUGAACCCCUGCUCCUUCUCUCUCGAAUCCAUCCCCGUAUCGAAACCAGCCAAUCCGAAUCUUCAUCGAAUCCCCUUUCUUGGAAGCUAUUACUUUCCUCUAUCAUGGAUAUUGAAGAGGAGAUUAAGGCUCUCCAACUUGACUCCUCUGCAGAAGAUAUUGUUACUGGUAAUGCUAAUGGCGAAGAAGAUGCUAAGCCAAACGAUGUUGUUAAACCUGAUGAAAAAGAUGAAGGUUUGAAAGAUGUGGCAAAUGCAAAUGCUCCCCCCCCAGCUGGUGUUGAGCUGAAAGGCACCUCAGCAGUGAAAGAAAAAGAAACGCCUGCACCUGAAGUUGUUGAAGAUGAGGUGGAAGAGAGCACAAAGCGACAUUUGAAUGUUGUGUUUAUUGGUCAUGUUGAUGCUGGCAAGUCAACUACAGGGGGACAGAUAUUGUUUUUAAGCGGUCAAGUUGAUGAUCGAACUAUUCAGAAAUAUGAAAAAGAGGCAAAGGACAAAAGCAGAGAGAGUUGGUAUAUGGCUUAUAUUAUGGAUACAAAUGAAGAAGAGAGGGUCAAGGGAAAAACAGUUGAGGUUGGACGUGCACAUUUUGAAACAGCGACGACUAGAUUUACGAUUCUGGAUGCUCCGGGUCAUAAAAGUUAUGUCCCCAACAUGAUUAGUGGAGCAUCUCAAGCUGAUAUAGGAGUGCUGGUAAUAUCUGCUCGAAAGGGUGAAUUUGAAACUGGAUAUGAGAAAGGUGGACAGACGCGCGAACAUGUCCAGCUUGCAAAGACUCUUGGAGUCUCUAAGCUACUUGUUGUUGUAAAUAAAAUGGAUGAGCCUACUGUUAACUGGUCAAAAGAAAGAUAUGAUGAGAUUGAGACAAAAAUGCUUCCUUUCCUGAGAUCUUCAGGUUAUAAUGUCAAGAAAGAUGUACAGUUUCUCCCGAUUUCCGGGCUUGUGGGUUCAAAUAUGAAGACAAGAAUAGACAAAAGUAUAUGCCCUUGGUGGAAUGGCCCUUGCCUUUUUGAAGCUCUUGAUGCUGUUGAAAUUCCUGCACGCGAUCCCAAAGGUCCAUUUAGAAUGCCUAUUAUUGACAAAUUCAAAGACAUGGGAACGGUGGUAAUGGGCAAAGUUGAAUCUGGUAGCAUCCGUGAAGGGGAUAAUUUGUUGGUCAUGCCAAACAAGGCUCAGGUGAAAGUUGUUGCCAUCUUCUGUGAUGAAGAUAAAGCUAGGCGUGCUGGACCUGGUGAAAAUUUGCGGGUGAGGAUAUCAGGGGUUGAGGAAGAGGAAGUGUUAGCAGGGUUUGUUUUGAGCAGCGUUGCCAAGCCAAUACCUGCUGUAUCUGAGUUUGUCGCGCAGCUACAGAUUUUGGAAUUGCUGGAUAAUGCUAUUUUUACUGCUGGUUACAAGGCUGUAUUGCAUAUUCAUGCUAUUGUUGAGGAAUGUGAAAUUGUUGAACUAAUGCAGCAGAUUGACCCGAAGACAAAAAAGCUAAUGAAGAAGAAACCUCUUUUUGUAAAGAAUGGUGCUGUUGUCGUUUGUCGUAUCCAGGUGAAUAAUUUGAUGUGUGUUGAGAAAUUCUGUGAUUUUCCACAGCUUGGACGCUUCACUCUUCGAACUGAAGGGAAAACUGUUGCUGUGGGAAAAGUUACUAGCCUUCCAUCCAUAGGUGAUCGUGCUUAAAACAAUUUUGACAUGAGCGGCUUCAACAACUGUCGUGAUCUCUGGCAUAUGAUCCAAGGGCUUGGCUUCGAGUGUAAAAUUUGAACAUACUAGUGCGGCAGCAGAAUGAGGUUUUUACCUAUUAUGGUAUCGGUUGCAGAUGUGGAAGAAGGUUCAUUCGAUGGCUCGUGAAUCGUGAGACUUGUUAUUUUAGUCUGGAAUCUGAAUAGAUUUUCUACUCUUGUGGAUGCUCCCGUCUACAAUGGUUGGUUGGUUAUUGCAUUCAGCUGUCAUUGGGGUAUUUAUGUGAAACAUAGAAGAGUUUUGUAUCUGUAUUUGAAGUAAACCUGCAUUUACUCAUAUCGAUUGGUUUUGAUAGUAGGUUAUACCGAGUAGCAUGCUUUUAUAUCAUGGUCAGUUUUUUGACCAAAUAUUUUUCUGUUCACGAGAUUAAAGUUUAUAUUUAACACAGUCAGAGUUAUAUGUAUUUCCUUCCUUC